UACGUAGGGGGCGAGCGUUGUCCGGAUUUAUUGGGCGUAAAGAGCUCGUAGGCGGUUCGAUAAGUCGGACGUGAAAUCUCCACGCUCAACGUGGAGGGGCCGUUCGAUACUGUCGUGACUCGAGUCCGGUAGGGGAGUGUGGAAUUCCCGGUGUAGCGGUGAAAUGCGCAGAGAUCGGGAGGAACACCCGUAGCGAAGGCGGCACUCUGGGCCGGUACUGACGCUGAGGAGCGAAAGCGU
rnacentral:rRNA from 1 species